CUUUUCUGAAAUAUGUCUUAGUUUUAAAAACUUACAAGAUUCAAAAUUAUCUAAAUUUUAUUUGUUAAAUCAUCUGCAAUAUUAAUGCUCUAUAAAUAAUACAAGGUUUCCUAGAGCAAAAUAAAACACUAAUUCGCUACAACACAUCAAAACACUUUACUUUUAAACACUGAACGCGCCUUUCGCUAACCGCGUUAGCAUCAUCAGUAGAUGAAUAAAAUUAGACUAUUAUCUGCAAAUUAAACGUUUUUAUAGUCGCUCGGUUGGUACUGACUAAGCCUGGCAAAAUUAAUUAACGAGACUAGAGCAAUAGGAACAGAGACCUGGAAAGAAAAUAUUAUCUCUGUUCAUAUUAUCUUUAAGUUUAUUUAUUUUUGACGCUUUCAUAAGCACCUAAUUCCCUGUAAUUUGAGACUUUUUUGAUUAAUUUUAAAUUAUUAACAUCUGUACAAUGAUUUUUUUCAAAAAUAUAUUGAGAAACGCAAGAUUUAUCCGCUCUACCAUAUCUGAGUCCUGCGUUCUUUAAAUCUAGUUAAUGUUGAUCGUCUAGUUAGCGCAAUAUAUUUUUGAUUGAAUUUUUGAUACGUGAAACUUCAAAACACCCGACCUUUCCAGUGGAGGUGUUUUAUCUUUAAGAUUACCUAAUGGUUGUAAUUUAUUUUUAGCGCUAUAUACAAAUUUAUAAUUAACAUUCUUAAAUGUUUUUUAAGCACGGGAUAGCACCACAGGUCCCUGCAGUGGCGAAAACACUAGGUCCCUCCUGGGGCAAAAUCACCAGGUAAAACGGUACUGAAGUAUAGUUUGACGUAUCUUUCUUCACUUCUCCUAUAGGCAGACAUCAGAAUUUUAUAAGGGGUGUCCAAGGUCUCUUCUUGUAGGUGGUCGUUAAGUGCUGAGUGUGUAUUAUUAAUAACAGUGGUACCAGGUCCCUGCAGGUCCCCCAUCGCCAGGUCCCUGCAGUGGCAAAUUCACCAGGUCCCUGCAGUAGCGAAAUCGCCUGGUCCCUCCUGGGGCAAAAUCACCAGGUCUCUGCAGUGGCAAAAUCACUUGGCACUUCUAUGGCAAAUUCACCAGGCCCCUGCUGUAGCAAAACCACCAGGACCCUGCAGUGGCAAAUCACCAGGUCCCUGCAGUGGCGAAAUCACCAGGUCUCUGCAGUGGCAAAUCACUAGGUCCCUGCUGUGGCAAAAUCACCAGGUCCCUGAUGUGGCAAAAUCAUCAGGUCCCAGCAGCAGCAAAAUCACCAGGUCCUUGCAGUGGCAAAACCACUUGGCACUUCUAUAGCAAAAUCACCAGGUCCCUGCUGUGGCAAAAUCAUCAGGUCCCAGCAGUAGCAAAAUCACCAGGUCCCUGCAGUAGCAAAUCACUAGGUCCCUGCUGUGGCAAAAUCACCAGGUCCUUGCAGUGGCAAAAUCACUUGGCACUUCUAUGGCAAAAUCACCAGGUCCCUGCUGUGGCAAAAUCAUCAGGUCCCAGCAGUAGCAAAAUCACCAGGUCCCUGCAGUAGCAAAUCACUAUGUCCCUGCUGUGGCAAAAUCACCAGGUCUCUGAUGUGGCAAAAUCAUCAGGUCCCAGCAGCAGCAAAAUCACCAGGUCCUUGCAGUGGCAAAAUCACUUGGCACUUCUAUGGCAAAAUCACCAGGUCCCUGCUGUGGCAAAAUCAUCAGGUCCCAGCAGUAGCAAAAUCACCAGGUCCCUGCAGUAGCAAAUCACUAGGUCCCUGCUGUGGCAAAAUCACCAGGUCUCUGAUGUGGCAAAAUCAUCAGGUCCCAGCAGCAGCAAAAUCACCAGGUCCUUGCAGUGGCAAAAUCACUUGGCACUUCUAUGGCAAAAUCACCAGGUCCCUGCUGUGGCAAAAUCAUCAGGUCCCAGCAGUAGCAAAAUCACCAGGUCCCUGCAUUGGCAAAAUCACUUCAUCUUUCAGUACCGUUUGACGAGCUAUCCCGUGGUUAAAAAAAAUUUAAGAAUGUCAAUUAUAAAUUUGUAUAUAGCUCUAAAAAUAAAUUACAACU